rnacentral:rRNA from 1 species
GACAUGGCUCAGGAUGAACGCUAGCGACAGGCUUAACACAUGCAAGUCGAGGGGCAGCAUGAGGUAGCAAUACCUUGAUGGCGACCGGCGCACGGGUGAGUAACGCGUAUGCAACCUGCCCGAUACCGGGGUAUAGCCCAUGGAAACGUGGAUUAACACCCCAUAGUACUUUUAUCCUGCAUGGGAUGUGAGUUAAAUGUUCAAGGUAUCGGAUGGGCAUGCGUCCUAUUAG